GUCUUGGUCGAUUAGUGGUCAAAUCAUCUCGUUGUGGUAAAGAUGUCUGUUGAUCGCUACAACCGAGAAGCCGAGGGCUCGACUCCCUCCCGAGACA